GGGGGCAUAGCUCAGUGGUAGAGCAACUGACUCUUAAUCAGCAGGUCGAGGGUUCGAAUCCCCCUGCCCCCACCA
rnacentral:tRNA from 1 species